GGGCUUCACUGCGGCUCAUCAAUUUCCUUUUUCCAGACCUGGGAAUUACAAUGAAAAAUGUAGGUGACACAUUUCCAUUCACAAUCCACGAAUCGCAGUAGGGAUCCCAGCGGAGGCGACAAAAGAAGAAAGCAGGGGAAAAUGGUGACGGGUGCCGCAUCUAUAGGAUCAGCAUCCUCCUCUCUGUGGAGUCCCUGCGUAAAAGAAAAAUCAGAGUGAAAGCUGGUGAAGAAGAGGAAGUGAACCUGUGAGAGACAGGAAGGCGAGGAGAAACAGAGCGAAGGAUCUGAUCGGGACCGUUUCUGUGAAGGUUUUCCUCCAGGAUUUUUCUCAGCUGUUUCAGAGACGAGGCUCCUCGCUAACAGUUCCUGCUCCUUUUCCACUCUUUUCAUUUUGAUUCGUUUAUGUGGUCGGGAUCGAGAUUUCUGACCUCUUCCCUUCUCGUCUGCUGUUUUG